rnacentral:rRNA from 1 species
UUCGAAGGCGAUCARAUACCGCCCUAGUUCUAACCAUAAACGAUGCCAGCCAGCGAUCCGCCGAAGUUCCUCCGAUGACUCGGCGGGCAGCUUCCGGGAAACCAAAGCUUUUGGGUUCCGGGGGAAGUAUGGUUGCAAAGCUGAAACUUAAAGGAAUUGACGGAAGGGCACCACCAGGAGUGGAGCCUGCGGCUUAAUUUGACUCAACACGGGAAACCUCACCAGGCCCGGACACCGGAAGGAUUGACAGAUUGAGAGCUCUUUCUUGAUUCGGUGGGUGGUGGUGCAUGGCCGUUCUUAGUUGGUGGAGCGAUUUGUCUGGUUAAUUCCGGUAACGAACGAGACUCUAGCCUGCUAAAUAGACGAUUUCCGGUAUCCACAAUAGUGCUACCGGCGAAAUCAAUAUCUUCUUAGAGGGACAGGCGGCUUUCAGCCGCACGAAACUGAGCAAUAACAGGUCUGUGAUGCCCUUAGAUGUCCUGGGCCGCACGCGCGCUACACUGAAGGAAUCAGCGUGUACACCCUGGCCGAAAGGCUCGGGCAACCCGUUGAACCUCCUUCGUGCUAGGGAUUGGGGCUUGCAAUUGUUCCCCAUGAACGAGGAAUUCCCAGUAAGCGCGAGUCAUAAGCUCGCGUUGAUUACGUCCCUGCCCUUUGUACACACCGCCCGUCGCUACUACCGAUUGAAUGAUUUAGUGAGGUCUUCGGACUGGUGCGCGGCGACCGCCUGCGCGGCCGCCGAUGCCACCGGGAAGAUGA